GGCAAGUAUUGGAGUAUUUUGUAUUUUCUUCGUCUCGAAUUCUUAAAAUAUCCAUUCUUGUCAAUUUACAUUGCACAUAUGGGAGCGAAACAUCGAGAAGAAACUGACAAUUUCGAUCAGAUGCUCUAUAGUGAAUUGAAUCAACAAACAAACUAAAUAAUCAGAAGCCAUUGGAUGCGAGAAAGAAUUGAAUAAUUCACCUGAAUAUAUUUAUGAUAUUCACCUUCAUGGUGCUUAUAGCUAAGAGAAAUCAAGAUAUCGGGCGAAACAUCUGACAGACUAAGCAUUUUCACAAAAUUCAGGGGUGAAUUGAAUGAACUACCAAAAUGAAUGAUCUGGGCUAAGUGGGUCAGAAAAAUAUUAAAUAAAAUUUUCUGGAAAU